rnacentral:rRNA from 1 species
AUACGGAGGGUGCAAGCGUUACUCGGAAUCACUGGGCGUAAAGGGCGCGCAGGCGGUUUGGUAAGUCAGAUGUGAAAGCCCAUGGCUCAACCAUGGAAGUGCAUUUGAAACUGUCAGACUUGAGUACUAGAGGGGAAAGUGGAAUUCCCGGUGUAGAGGUGAAAUUCGUAGAUAUCGGGAGGAAUACCGGUGGCGAAGGCGACUUUCUGGCUAGAUACUGACGCUGAGGCGCGAAAGCGUGGGGAGCAAACAGGAUUAGAAACCCCGGUAGUCC